AGCGAACGCUGGCGGCAGGCCUAGCACAUGCAAGUCGAACGGCAGCACAGUAAUAGCUUGCUCUUACGGGUGGCGAGUGGCGGAUGGGUCAGGAAUACACCGGAAUCUACUUUUUCGUGGGGGCUAACAUCGGGAAACUUACGCUGAUACCAGAUACGACCUCAGGGUGAAGGCAGGAGAUCUUCGGCCUUUGCGCGUGGGAAUGCGCCGAUGUGGGGUUGGCUAGUUGGCGGGGUAAAGGCACACCUGGGCGACGAUCCGUAGCUGGUGUGAGACGAUGAACAGCGACAGUGGAGCUGAGAGACGGUACAGAGUCCGACGGGCGGCAGCGGUGGGGAAUAUUGGAAGAUGGGCGCAAGCCUGAACCAGCGGUACCAGGUGGGUGAAGAAGGCCUUCGGGUUGUAAGACGGUUUUGUUGUGGAAGAAAGGCAGCACGUUAAUACCCCGCUGUUCUGACGGUAGCCGAAGAAGAAGCACCGGCUAACUUCGUG
rnacentral:rRNA from 1 species